AGACGAGGCUAUCGCCUCUCCUCAGCCCGAACGGAUCGAGGUAAAUCAAGCUUCUUAUCCAUAACCCACA
rfam:Legionella shakespearei DSM 23087 strain ATCC 49655 Lsha_ctg046, whole genome shotgun sequence.